rnacentral:rRNA from 1 species
CGGGGUGAGUAAUGUAUGGGGAUCUGCCUGAUGGCGGGGGAUAACUACUGGAAACGGUAGCUAAUACCGCAUAACGUCGCAAGACCAAAGAGGGGGACCUUCGGGCCUCUUGCCAUCGGAUGUGCCCAGAUGGGAUUAGCUAGUAGGUGGGGUAACGGCUCACCUAGGCGACGAUCCCUAGCUGGUCUGAGAGGAUGACCAGCCACACUGGAACUGAGACACGGCCCAG